rnacentral:rRNA from 1 species
GGAACGGUCAGUGUCUUGUGAAAGCCCACGGCUCAACCGUGGAAUUGCAGGACAUACUGCCGUUCUUGAGGCCGGUAGAGGUCGUCGGAACUGUAGGUGUAGCGGUGAAAUGCGUAGAUAUCUACAGGAACGCCAAAGACGAAGGUAGGCGACUGGGCCGGUUCUGACGCUCAGGCACGAAAGCGUGGGGAGCCAACAGGAUUAGAUACCCUGGUAGUCCACGCCGUAAACGAUGCGCACUAGAUUCGGGAGGUUCUGACACCAUCCGGGUCGAAGCAAAAGUGUUAAGUGCGCCGCCUGGGGAGUACGGUCGCAAGAUUAAAACUCAAAGGAAUUGACGGGGGCUCACACAAGCGGUGGAGCAUGUGGCUUAAUUCGAAGCAACGCGAAGAACCUUAUCCAGGGUUUGACAUGCACGGAUGCCCUUCCCGAAAGGGAAGUAAGCUGCCCUUGCGGUGAAACGUGCACAGGUGCUGCAUGGCUGUCGUCAGCUCGUGCUGUGAAGUGUUGGGUUAAGUCCCUUAACGAGCGAAACCCCUGUCGUUAGUUGCCAGCGCGCCUCCGGGUGGCGGGGACUCUAACGAGACUGCCGGUGUCAAACCGGAGGAAGGCGGGGAUGACGUCAAGUCCUCAUGGCCUUUAUGCCCUGGGCUGCACACGUGCUACAAUGGCAUGAACAAAGCGAAGCAAUCUCGUAAGAGGGAGCAAAUCGCACAAAUCAUGCCCCAGUUCGGAUUGGGGUCUG